GGGUCCGGUGGGGCGCGGGCCUCCCUAAAGAACCGGGGGAAAGAACUCCCGCCCACCCACCCUCCCCGGCUUGGAGGGCCGCGUCACCCGUCCGAGUGACCGGCUUGCGGGUACGGGUCACGGACGGUUACGUUCGCCGCGACAACCGCAAACAGAUACGGCCCCCGGCCGGGACGGCAAUCCCGAACGAGGGCCUGACCAACCAGGAAGCAAACCCCUUCCCG
rnacentral:ncRNA from 1 species